AAUACACCGCACAUGUCCAAUUC
rnacentral:snRNA from 1 species